rnacentral:misc_RNA from 1 species
GGAAAGAGGAGGUAAAUUGCCAAGAAGCUAGUACAUCAGAAGUAAAAGUGAUCUUCGAGACAGUUCACACGAUAUAAGCAAAGAUUUGACAUCCCCAUCAAAUGGAGCUUAAAACCUGUAGGCUGUAGGCUGUAGACCGAAGCAGGCGAUACAAAGCAAGAAACGAAAGCUCUUAACUACAUCUUUAAGCUGUUAGAUCUUUCGUUUCUGUCACUGCUUAUGUAGGAUACAACCACAGUUAUAUCGUCCAGCUUCCCUCCAUAGUAACGGAACCCAGCUUCUUGAGCUGCAGAAGAGAAAGGGGUCUGCCUGUUUUUAUCCUGUGCUCUUUGCCGAGCUAAUGCAGCUAUCUUCUGAGCUGUCACCUGUGGCCCUAAGCCAGCUCUCGUUGCAUGAACGACGAUUGCAUUAAUAUCAUUGUUGUACAAAUUGUCAAACAACCCAUCAGUACCAGCUAUUAUAACAUCUCCUUGUGCCACUGGUAUUUUGAAGACCUC